rnacentral:rRNA from 1 species
GUACACAAAAAUGCACAUGCUGUGAGCUCGAUGAGUAGGGCGGGACACGUGGUAUCCUGUCUGAAUAUGGGGGGACCAUCCUCCAAGGCUAAAUACUCCUGACUGACCGAUAGUGAACCAGUACCGUGAGGGAAAGGCGAAAAGAACCCCGGCGAGGGGAGUGAAAAAGAACCUGAAACCGUGUACGUACAAGCAGUGGGAGCACGCUUAGGCGUGUGACUGCGUACCUUUUGUAUAAUGGGUCAGCGACUUAUAUUCUGUAGCAAGGUUAACCGAAUAGGGGAGCCGAAGGGAAACCGAGUCUUAACUGGGCGUUAAGUUGCAGGGUAUAGACCCGAAACCCGGUGAUCUAGCCAUGGGCAGGUUGAAGGUUGGGUAACACUAACUGGAGGACCGAACCGACUAAUGUUGAAAAAUUAGCGGAUGACUUGUGGCUGGGGGUGAAAGGCCAAUCAAACCGGGAGAUAGCUGGUUCUCCCCGAAAGCUAUUUAGGUAGCGCCUCGUGAAUUCAUCUCCGGGGGUAGAGCACUGUUUCGGCAAGGGGGUCAUCCCGACUUACCAACCCGAUGCAAACUGCGAAUACCGGAGAAUGUUAUCACGGGAGACACACGGCGGGUGCUAACGUCCGUCGUGAAGAGGGAAACAACCCAGACCGCCAGCUAAGGUCCCAAAGUCAUGGUUAAGUGGGAAACGAUGUGGGAAGGCCCAGACAGCCAGGAUGUUGGCUUAGAAGCAGCCAUCAUUUAAAGAAAGCGUAAUAGCUCACUGGUCGAGUCGGCCUGCGCGGAAGAUGUAACGGGGCUAAACCAUGCACCGAAGCUGCGGCAGCGACGCUUAUGCGUUGUUGGGUAGGGGAGCGUUCUGUAAGCCUGUGAAGGUGUGCUGUGAGG